rnacentral:rRNA from 1 species
GACGAACGCUGGCGGCGUGCCUAAUACAUGCAAGUCGAGCGCAGGAAGCUGACGGAACUCUUCGGAGAGAAGGCAGUGGAAUGAGCGGCGGACGGGUGAGUAACACGUAAGGAACCUGCCUCAAGGAUUGGGAUAACUCCGAGAAACCGGAGCGAAUACCGGAUAGUUCAACGGACCGCAUGGUCCGCUGAGGAAAGGCGCUUCGGCGUCACCUUGAGAUGGCCUUGCGGUGCAUUAGCUAGUUGGUGGGGUAACGGCCCACCAAGGCGACGAUGCAUAGCCGACCUGAGAGGGUGAUCGGCCACACUGGGACUGAGACACGGCCCAGACUCCUACGGGAGGCAGCAGUAGGGAAUCUUCCACAAUGGACGAAAGUCUGAUGGAGCAACGCCGCGUGAGUGAUGAAGGUUUUCGGAUCGUAAAACUCUGUUGUAAGGGAAGAACACGUACGAGAGGGAAUGCUCGUACCUUGACGGUACCUUACGAGAAAGCCACGGCUAACUACGUGCCAGCCGCCGCCGUAA